UUUGGCACCUCGAUGUCGGCUCGUCGCAUCCUGGGGCUGGAGUAGGUCCCAAGGGUUGGGCUGUUCGCCCAUUAAAGCGGUACGCGAGCUGGGUUCAGAACGUCGUGAGACAGUUCGGUCCCUAUCUUCCGUGGGCGUUGGAGGCUUGAGAGGAGCGACUCCUAGUACGAGAGGACCGGAGUGGACGCACCUCUGGUGUACCGGUUGUCCUGCCAAGGGCACCGCCGGGUAGCCAUGUGCGGAAGGGAUAACCGCUGAAAGCAUCUAAGCGGGAAGCUCGCCUCGAGAUAAGGCCUCCCAUCCCCUUUGAGGGAGUAAGACUCCUGGUAGACCACCAGGUUAAUAGGCCACAGGUGUAAGUGCAGCGAUGUAUUCAGCCGAGUGGUACUAAUAAGUCGAGGGCUUAAUGGU
rnacentral:rRNA from 1 species